rnacentral:rRNA from 1 species
AAGCACCGGCGGACGGCUCAGUAACACGUGGACAACCUGCCCUCGGGAGGGGGAUAACCCCGGGAAACUGGGGCUAAACCCCCAUAGGAGAUGGAUACUGGAAUGUUCCAUCUCCGAAAGUCCGCAAGGAGCCCGAGGAUGGGUCUGUGGCGGAUUAGGUAGUUGGUGGGGUAACGGCCUACCAAGCCUAAGAUCCGUACGGGCCAUGGGAGUGGGAGCCCGGAGAUGGACCCUGAGACAAGGGUCCAGGCCCUACGGGGCGCAGCAGGCGCGAAACCUCCGCAAUGCGGGAAACCGCGACGGGGUCAGCCGGAGUGCCGAUGCUUGCAUCGGCUGUCGGGGAGCCUAAAAAGCUCCCCAUAGCAAGGGCCGGGCAAGGCCGGUGGCAGCCGCCGCGGUAAUACCGGCGGCCCGAGUGGCGGUCACUAUUAUUGGGCUUAAAGCGUCCGUAGCCGGGUUGGGAAGCCCUCCGGGAAAUCUGGCCGCUUAACGGUCAGAAUGCCGGAGGAUACUCCCAGCCUAGGGAGCGGGAGAGGCCGAGGGUAUUCCCGGAGUAGGGGUGAAAUCCUAUAAUCCCGGGAGGACCACCUGUGGCGAAGG